rnacentral:misc_RNA from 1 species
UAUUCCAGCAGCCGCGGUAAUACGUUCCCGGGCCUUGUACACACCGCCCGUCACACCACGAGAGUUUGUAACACCCGAAGUCGGUGGGGUAACCGUAAGGAGCCAGCCGCCUAAGGUGGGACGGAUGAUUGGGGUGAAGUCGUAACAAGGUAGCCGUAUCGGAAGGUGCGGCUGGAUCACCUCCUUUCUAAGGAAAAUGAGGCUCGCUUGGUUUUUGUUUAGUUUUGAGAGAUCAUUUACGAUCUUUCUAUUAUAGUAAGAAAAAGACAUAGGAGUUUAAAUGCUUAUAGCAUUUGUGCAUCCUGUUCUUUAUGUUCCUUGAAAACUAGAUAACGAUAACAAUUCAAGUAUUCACUGAGUUUAAACGCUUAGUUUAGUGAUUCUCUUAAUAAUUAGUAAUGACAUCAUUGAUGUCGAAGGUUAAGUUGUUAAGGGCGCACGGUGGAUACCUAGGCACACAGAGGCCGCGGUAAUACGGCAGGUUGGAGGCAUUGUAAGAAUAAAUAUGCUAGCCCACUCGGAUAGCAAUCCACAAAGGUGGUAAUAUAAGACGUGAUAAAGGGUCAGAGAGCAUGCCCUAUAUGCCUGUCAUGUGGUUCAAAGAAGUUUAAAGUGAUAAAUAAGAGCGAAAAUCAGGUAAUUGUUGAAUGUCUAUCAUGUGCCAAACGUAUUACCAUUUAGUUCAAGAAACAAUGAUGAAGGACGACAACAGUAACAUCAUAUAUAGAUUGCAGUAUUAUCUAUCACACGAGUUCAACUUUGUGUAGCGAAAAACUCUACAGU